rnacentral:lncRNA from 1 species
GUGUGUGUGUGUGUGUGUGUGUGUGUGUGUGUGUGUGUGUGAGUUUAAAGGGGGAAGUGUUGGGUUGUCUGUUUGUGUCCACAUGCUAUUUGAGUAUAUGAAUGGCUGUUAAUGUAUGCUCUGGGAAUAGUUCUGGUGUGAAGGAGAGCAGAGGAGUGAAGGAGCAGGAAGUGAACUCUUGGCUGGGCCUUAGCGUUGAGCAGGAUGUGCAGUGUGUUUCUGCUUGCAGACCGAUAGAGACACAGAUGAAGAUUGGGAGGGAGUAGGGAGGGAGAGGAGCAUGGAGAGCUCAGCAGGGUGGACAUAAGCCCAUUGUUUAAAUAUGAAAGACUGAUCUUAGUUCUAAACCUCGCCAUUCAGAAAACAUUAAGAGCCUCCCUAUCUUUUCCCUUCUUCCUUCCUUUCUUUUAUUUUUUUAUAUAUUUUUUAAAGAGUAAACCCAUGUCCACUCUUAUAUUGUACAAUGCUUAGUGUGCUCUACUUUCAGAAAGCUCUUAACAAAUUAAAGGUCUAAUGAAGCUGUUUUUAUUUAAAUAUUACACCCUUUCUGGGUAUUAAUUAAGUACCUUACUUUGAUUGUUUCAAUCAAAAUUAUCCCCAAAAAUAACUUCUUAGCAAAGAGCAAUUUCUCAAGCAAGUCUGUCUGGGAGUGGUCUGAGUAGGGAGGGGCAAAUUUAAAACUAGCUGUCAUUGGCAGAGAGGUUUGGAAUUCUCUUUCUUAUUGGUCUAUUAACAACAACAAAAAAUGUUUGAGCAUGGCCUUAUUUUUAUUGCAGCAUAUUGGAUGACUGUCAUUCAGAUUCCAUUCACCCAGUUCAAUGUAAUUUGCUAGGUUUAGGCUACUACAUGAUAAUCAAAUGUUCCCUAUACCCAUCAUGAGGUUGCUACAAACUAGCCUAUGAAUGAAAGUUUACAAUGUAGGUGCACACAGGUCGAGAGAAACAUUUGAGGUGACACUCUUGCCUGUAUCUAGCUGAUCUAGGAUGUAAUCAUUAGUCCACCAGUUGCAAACGAGAGUUUCUAUUGGACAAAUUGAUGUAUGUUUAUCCCCGUUUCGUUUUUUUCAACAGAAUCGUCAGAAUGAAUACACCCCUGAUCACGCGUAAACACAGUUCACUUUCAUAGCAGCCACAUUGUAUUCCUUCUGUCAUCUAUGCACUCUCCUCCUCCCACCUUUUCCCUUCGCUUGUGGACUUCAAUGCACAACACAUCAGCUAUCUGUGACCAGGCGAAAAAACCUUUCCAAACCAUAUCAGAACCGCUACACACGGUCUACACUGUUGUCACCAUAUUAGCUAAAGUAACGUCCUAGUCAACAUAGCUAUAAUAACUAACGUGUUAGUAAACCCACUACAAUCAAACAGUAAGUUUACAAUGUACAGUCAGUAAGCAGUUUAGCACUUACACAGAUGGGCCCCGGUGGCAAUAAAUUAGUAAAACCAAAAGCUUACCAUGAAUUGGAAGAGUUCCAGUGUUGUGUUGGAUAAUCAUAGCCAGCUAGCAACAUAGCAUCCCUCUGUUUUGAGCAGGUUGUUUGAAUAGGCUAAACUAGCUAGCUGCAUUUGCUAGCUAAGUAAGUAAGACUGCCAUUUUUUUUUCAAACUCUCUCUCUCACCACAUUUUAUGCACUGCAGUGCUAGCUAGCUGUAGCUUAUGCUUUCAGUACUAGAUUAAUUAUCUGAUGCUUUGAUUGGGUGGACAACAUGUCUGUUCAUGCUGCAAGAGCUUUGAUAGGUUGGAGGACAUCCUCUGGAAGGUGUCAUAAUUACUGUCUAAGUCUAUGGAAGGGGGUGAGAGCCAUGAGGUCCUAGGUUUUGUAUUGAAGUCAAUGUACCCAGAGGAGGACAGACGCUAGCUGUCCUCUGGCUACACCAUGGUGCUACCCUACAGAGUGCUGUUGAGGCUACUGUAGACCUUCAUUGCAAAAAAAGUGUUUGAAUCAAUUAUUUGGUGACGUGAAUAUAUUUUGUAUAGUGUUAUCUAAAAAGGAGAACUUUUUAAAUGUUUUACCAUUUUUAUUUUUAUGAAAUUCACUGAGGAGGAUGGUCUUCCCCUUCCUUCUCUGAGGAGCCUCCACUGGUUCCCACAGUGGACCGGGUUGAAUUAGAAGGGAAGGAGAGACUUGACACUUUCAUUGGCCUUUAUUACCAGCAGCUGCUUUCCUCCAUUUAUUCCCCCAAACUGCACUUAUCUGGAAAAUUCAUUGAAUUAUGAUUUUUAUUACCCUCGUGACCCCCUAAAACCCUCCUCAAUCGCCUUUCCUCUCGCAUGUUUCUUCCUCCUUGUCCUCCUUUUCCUCUCUCCCCGAUCCAACCACUGAUCUCCCACUUUUUCUUCCUUCGUUACCUCAAAGCACUGCUCUCACCUCUCUGUCUGUCUCCCGCUCUCUUCUUGACACUCAGCAUGAACCACUAGCCCACGCUAACAACCCUCCUCCUCUACUCCUCCUUCCCUACGCCUCCUCUCUCCCAUGAUCAAGUCGCUUCCAGUUGUUUUUCCUGCUGAAGAAGACAGUUGUCUAAAUGUUUAUGCGAACAACUACUUUAUUUUUCUUAACACCCUGAUCAAGUUCCAAAAUGAACUUCAAAAUUUGACGACGUUAUUAUGUGCUUGCUUUUCAAGUCAAGAAUUAUAUUUCAAAGGAAUAUAAGAGACAGAGAGCAUCAUUAUUGAGGAAACGCAGGAUAAUAAGAGAAAGAAAUGUUCAGAGGGAAAUAUGCUAAGAAAGAUGCCAGUAAAGUAAACAUGAGUGGAUGAAAUUGCACAAUUGAGCCAGACCACAGCUCCACCAGCCAAGUCAUCUGCUGAGAUGGAGAGGGAGAGAAAGAAUGAGAGAGUUGAAGUACCAGUCAUAGCUUAAGUAAACAACAUAGAAAAAACUGAGUGGCGGUAAGCUGAUGCAUCGUCAGUAUGUUUUGCUUGGAGCGUUCUGUCUCCACCAGGCAGUGAAAUAGUCAGACCGCAGACCUGAUCAACAGACAAGACAGACUAAGAAGACACCGUGCAAUCUAGAAUAUCAUAUUGCCGUUUCUCAAGGCUUGACUCUAUUGAUAUGAUUCAUUUACGGUACUUCUCCUAAAGUGAAUUGACUGAAACAACAAACAACUUAACAGGAAAACACAACUAUUUUGGUGAAAAUAGCAGUUCAGUAUCUGAUCUAAUCUGGGGUCUAAGCGUCAUGUAUGAGUACACAGAUACACACAGACACAAACAAAAUGCAGACACACGAAAAAACACAGCUGGAUGGCAGACUGCCCUGUCACUGUUCAUGACUGGCUGUUCCAGAUUAGGUCAGAUUAAAUUAGCCUUCCCUGCUCCAUUUGGAGUGUCAGUUCUUGUAGAAAAAUUCAUUACUAAAGCAGAGGCAAUGUUACUGACGGCCUGAACUGAACACACACUGAGACGCCUGCCAGAAUGUCACAGAGCCGAGGGUCCACACACUCUCCUAAACACACUCCCCAUUUACACACACACUCUCACACACAACCAAUUUGAUCCCAUAUAGAAAUGGUGGAUUUGGUCCAUCAUCUUUUAAAGAUUACUGCGUUGAUUGAGGUGGAAGUAGAAUUAGAAUUUGUGGUUGCAGAGUUGGAAAGUUCAACAGGCAUGUAGACUGAAUAGGGAUAGACAGAGAAAGGGGAAGACAGAAGCACUGAACUUACAGUAAAACAAACAAUUGACAUCAGAUAUGAUUCAACUUUAUUUACCAAACAAGCACACCAGUAUUUAAAAAAAAAAAAAAAUUCAAAUAUAAACAUUUUUUGAAGUGCUUUCUUGAAAAUAAAAACCAAGGUUUUGAAUAGAAAGCAAUACACAAAAAAACAAACAGUAUUUUUCUACUUUACAUUGUCAAUAUUGUUCUUAUUUUUCUUUAGUGAAAUGAAUGUAUUUAUUGCAUGUCUAAAUGUUUUAUAGGUCAUUGUUUUGUGUACAUUUCAAUUGUGUCUUAAUAAUUCAUGUUUGAUAUAAGGCUUUUAUUUGUUUUAAGCCAUUGUGAGAAUUGUAUGUUUUUUGUUUGUUUCUAUACACAAAAUCAACUUGGCAAUAAAAAUGAAUUGCAUAAUGGUUUCACGUCAUGUAAUGUAAAUGUAAUGUAAAUGUAAAUGUUUCACAAAGCGGCUGUCUUCUCAUUUUAUUUUUCUUGUCACUUUUAAGGAAUGAAUCCAUUCACAUCAAUAAGAUUGUCUUUCAGCACCAGGGCUCAAUUCAAUCCGUAGCGCAGAAUAUUUGCAUUCUAGCGCAG